rnacentral:rRNA from 1 species
GACGAACGCUGGCGGCGUGCCUAAUACAUGCAAGUAGAACGCUGAAGCGAGGAGCUUGCUCUUCUUGGAUGAGUUGCGAACGGGUGAGUAACGCGUAGGUAACCUGCCUUGUAGCGGGGGAUAACUAUUGGAAACGAUAGCUAAUACCGCAUAACAAUGGAUGACACAUGUCAUUUAUUUGAAAGGGGCAAUUGCUACACUACAAGAUGGACCUGCGUUGUAUUAGCUAGUAGGUGAGGUAAUGGCUCACCUAGGCGACGAUACAUAGCCGACCUGAGAGGGUGAUCGGCCACACUGGGACUGAGACACGGCCCAGACUCCUACGGGAGGCAGCAGUAGGGAAUCUUCGGCAAUGGGGGCAACCCUGACCGAGCAACGCCGCGUGAGUGAAGAAGGGUUUCGGAUCGUAAAGCUCUGUUGUAAGUCAAGAACGGGUGUGAGAGUGGAAAGUUCACACUGUGACGGUAGCUUACCAGAAAGGGACGGCUAACUACGUG